rnacentral:lncRNA from 1 species
UGGGAUUUCGUGAAGGUCAGCUCUUUCAUAUUGUUUCAAUUUUUUAAUAACAUUCUGCAAUGCGUUCAAUCCAUAAGAUUAUGUACUGCACGUUAAGUCUAAUUUGGCAUCAAAAUCUUAUUAAUUCAUACCUGAAAUAAAUUGCUAUUCUUUUCAUUUACCAAGCCUCAUGGUAUGUUUACUCGUGUGAGGACAAUCUCUUGGUAUGCUAUUUCUGAUACAUAUCCUUCCAUGUGUAUAGAAAAUACCCAUCUUCCGUUUCACUGAGAGGGGAUGAUACCGAUGGUUCACUGCUAUAUUUGAUGUGAAAGUGUAAAUUGUGUGUCUGAUUAGGCUUUCUCUUUGGUUGCUAUUGGAAUAUAUAGGAGGUUGCCUGCUUUCCUUUUAUGCCAUAGUUCACACCACAUUUUUGUUUUUAGGCUUAUGUAUGAGUUGGUUUCAAGCUAUGCACAUGCUGCUCCAAUGUAUAUUUACAGAAACUCCUCAAAGUUAGAUUGGAGGAAUGCCCAUUUCUUCACCACUUCGGGGGUAAAAGUAGUAUGUGGAGCAAGUUAUUGCUUCCCUUCUCAUUUUUUGCUGUCAAGAAUCAAGUAUUAUACUUAAUGUUUUUUUAUUUUAUAGCCUCAUUUGUGAUCUUUUUCAUUUUAUUCCUUGUUAAUAUAUUCAAGGGUCUCAUUGCUACUUUGUCUCGAUAAUUUUAUAUCUACUUCAUGUCAUCACAAAUACAUGUUUUUAAUAGGAUCCGUCUUUUCUUUGUUCUAUUUUGGUCUUACCUUAAGGCCAUACCACUGCAGGAAACUUGGCUUACUUGGGAGUAUGAUCCAUGCUUUAUGAUGUUGUGAGUGACUUCUCGUGUUUAGUGCUUGCGGCGUAGAUCAGUAGAUGGAGAAGAGCCGACUUAACUGGAGUCCACACAGCACAAACGAACUAGGUAGCAAUAUCGAGCUACAUGUGCUCACUGAUCUCAUUUGUUGUGCAUACAAUCCCCGUUUUAAAUAUUUUGUUUUGUACCUGUGUUGCAUCUGAUGUUAUGCGUUUGCAAACUUGACAAGUGUGAACUACAGUUCUCUGUAGAAUUUGGACUUCCAGUACUCCUCUCAUAUAACCUGCAUUUUUGCGUAUGUUUAAUCUCUUAUGGGCUGAUUUUUACAAACAUCCAAAAACUGGGUGGGAUAAAGAUUUGCUGCUUGAGAUCAAUCUUUGAAAUAGACGAUGUGUGAGAAUGAGUAGAGAGUUAAACUGACACUAUGUGUGUUUGAGAAAAUUGAGAACCUCUACUUGUCAAUUGCUAAAUAAAUAUCUAAAACACUUAAAGAGUUUUGUACAUAUUUCCCGUAGGAGCUUGAAUAGAGAAGAUAACGCUUUGGUUUUUGUUAGCGAUAUGAAACUUCACUGCUUAUCUCUAUAUGAGUUGCCAUCACUUAUAAUGAGGAUGCAUUUUGGUUUGACUUGGGUUUAUUUAUUUGCAUAUCACUUUUCCUACUGCGAUGUGACUGAACGGUUCAGAAUUUAAUAACAUUUCAAUUUAAUGCCUUUCAGAGUGUUUACAUUUCUUUCAAGUGCAAGAAGGCAGUUACACUACUGAAAUUAUAUGCGGAUGAAAUGCUUGGGACUACAAGAUGCUACAAGGAAACUAAAUGCAAAAGAAAACUAUGGAGGAAGUAUUACAUGCAAUACUAAAUCUGGAGGAAGAAUAAAAAUCAAGGUAAUGACUAUAUUACAUCCAUGGUGGCCUGAAAGAGACAAAAUCAGGGGGGAUGGUGAAAGUAGAGAGCUUUCUUAUAUUGUCUCCAAGCAAGCUGAGGAAUACUAUUAAGUUUCUCAAAAAAAGGAGAUGAAAUAAGAACCAAAAUAAAAACAAAGGGAAUGACAAUGACCUGAAAGAGGAACUUUGAAGGUAAACCGUGAUGGAGUUUUACUUGCUGAAAAUACUAAUGAUGGUUGUGGAGCCACAAUUAGUGAUGAUGAAGAAGAUGUAGUCGGUUGUGGGAUGAGGAAAACUGCGAAUAUCCUGAACAUACAAACAAAACAUGUAAACUGGGAGUACUGCCAGUUUAGGAGCAAAGUAACCAUUACUAGAGUAAUGAAUCUGAGAAAUUAGUUGUUGAACUUGAGAACUGUUGUAAUUCUUGACAAUGAGAUGGUCUUAUUUUUUGUCCCAGUAAAGGUUGGAGGUAGAAUCAACUUCAAGCUCGAGUACCCAAUGGUAGAGAAAUAGAAAGGAGGCACAAGAUGGAAGUAUGAACUCUCGCAGUAACAUUUUUAAUUUUCCAAGUUAUGUUGAUGAUGUUAAGGUUAAUGGACAACUCUACAGGAACUUAGUAGAACACAAGCUUUUGUUGUUGAGUUCAAUAUAAGGUGUCCUGUGUAUUUUUUAAGGUGUCAUGUUUCUCAAGAGAAUACAUCUGCACGUAAGGAACCAGCUAAUAAAUGAACUAGCUCACAAGCAGUCUUUGCUUUUGCUUCAUUGAUUUCAUUGUAGCAUAGUUCUAUUCAUAUUUCUGAUACUUAUUUUUUCUGUAUCACUUACAAUUUUCGUUUAGCAAAGUGAUGUCCCUCUUGAAUAAUCAUAUGCUGCUGUCAGUUCAAACAUUGCACUUAGCAAAUUUAAUCUUUUAUGGGAUUGGAUGUGAUUUUCUCUUCCCUUAUACUAAUUCUAACAUUAAUGGGAUAUUGCGUACAAUGUUCUAAUGCUAAGCUGUUGUAAGUACUCGGUUAUCAAAAAAACUUGUAAGUACUCACUGUGGUUUCAGCAUGAUGCUUGGUAUAUGGAGUUUAUAGUAUUAAUCUGAUGCAUAAGCCUUUCCAAAUUAAUUCAACAUGUCUGCUCUGGUUUUACUUUCUUUUCUUCUCUCAUCCUUAAGUUUCUUGCUUGUGUUACUAUGAAGGAUGUGCAAGAGAGUUGAUGCCUGCCGAGUUCCAACUCUGAAGGAUGUGCAUCUCAUUUUACUUAAAGCAAGCACUCCAAGUAGCAAAUCCCGAAUGGAAUGAUGUUUCUUUUUCCUCUGGCAUCGUCGAUUACCAGCUUGUGUUCCAAAAAGCACAGAGAGGCGACUACCUUUGAAAUCCACUAAAGCAACUUAUUUAGUUUUUUUAACGCUCAAGAUAAUGAUAAUGCAUUUAUCUACAUGAACUUGUCUGAUUAUUUUGCUUUUAUUUUAUUGCACUCAUGGAAUGCGAAAGAACUAAAUCAACCAAUUUGCAGGGUCAAUAUUCGUUGUUUCACGAUUUUUCAUUCUGCUAUGCGAAAACUCCAAAAUAUUGACUUACUAUUUUCAUUCAGGAUGGUGACCAGAUAAGGAAGCAAUUUUUGGUGCACCUACUCAACUACAUCAACAAUGAAGCUGCACACAACAUUCCGGAUACUUACGUGAAUUCAUUAGCCUUAUUAGGAAAUACUGGGAUAAUUGUUUUGGCUCUAUGCACAUGACGAGUCGAUGAUACAUUAAGGUUGUGUUUGGCUGCUCAGUUUUUUUUAAGUAUUUGGAGAAUACUAUGGUUUUCUCAUAAACCACAGAUUUCAAAACUUUGAGCUGUUUGGCUUCAACAAAUAGUUUUAUAAACCAUAGUAUCUCUAAUACCAUGGUUUUUUGGUAGUAUUUAAUAAAGAGAUCUUCACCACUUUUUUACAAACUGAAAAAACCGUGGUUUUUAAAAACUGAAGAAUUAAUUGUACUGAGGUUCUCGGUUACUACUGUUUUGAGAAAACUAUGUUGCCAAACUAGGCCUGUAGUGUUUUCUUGAUUUGUAAUAGUACUUUUGAGUGUAAUCAAAAUAUCUUUAUGUGCAUGUUAAUUCUGACAUAUGUUUGUCAUAUUAAUUGAGAUAUGCAUUUGCACAUGCACGCUUACUAGUUCCUUGCAAGAGAGAGCACAGAACACAAGAACGAAGAGAUUUGCGCCGCGUGAACUUCUCACGGCUUUUCUUCUGCUUCUAUUAUUCAUUCAAG